CAGGUUUGUGGGCGUCCUGAGAGAGCUACCUGUACCGCUUCUUCUGGGCCCUUCCGAUCCUCUGAGCCUCUCUCCUCCUCAACUUCGGCCUCUCCUUUUGAUAGAGGAACCCUCGCUCCUACGGAAGGGUCUUCGUAAAAGAUCAGAAAAAAAGGUCAUGCGGUGGGAGAAGGGAGAGAAGCAGGAAAGGGAAACGGACCACGUCUACCGUGAGCGCUCUUAUGCAUACACGUUCACCUGCGCGAGAGCGCGCGCGUAACAUAAUACGAUGAGGAUCCCAUCGUGCAAAUGCCAAAAGAAUUUCGUUACUCGAGAGUAUGCGCGCUGCUGUCCAGGGACGCCUUGGGAUUUGAACCUUCUCCCGCUAUAGAAGUGGUUCGACACACUUCCUUCCCUUCCAAUAAUAAAAACAAUUUAGAUGUUUUCAACGAUUCGCCUUUUUCUAAUCGUUCUCACCUUUAAUCGGACAUAAUUAGGUACAUGUUAUGGUUUUGCUUACGAACAAAUCAAAUCCUUUCUACGUAAUAAUAAUAACUGUAAUAUGCUGUGUUUUUACAACGCCGUAUCGCUGAUAUCGCUAUAUCAUACGUACUUGUGUUAAAGCGCUUCCUUUUAUUUCUCACGAGUAUCGAUGGAACACAUUCGAUUCUACGUAUCCUUAGAUAUACGCACACCUAUGUAUAUAUAUAUAUAUAUAUAUAUAUAUAUACAUACAUACAUAUAUAUACAUACAUACAUACAUAUAUAUACAUACAUACAUAUAUAUAUACACAUAUAGCAAUAUAUAGAGGCACGCACAUAUAUAGAGAUAUCUAUAAUAUGAAGGUGACUGUGAAAGUGCACGCAUACGUAUGUAUAUAUAAAUGUAGACCUUAAAGAGCAGGUAGCGCGCUUUCAAUUCGCCUUUGAGAUAGCGCGGAAGAUCGAAGAAGCUUGGAACUUUUGAGAAGUUAGUAGAGAGGGUCCUCCUUUCUUUGACUGAUCGCACGUAAAUUUUGAAAGAAUCCACGGGUCCAUUGUGGAUCAUCGGUCGUGCGAGAAAAGAAAUUUUCCUUCGGCGAGCCGACCAUAAGAUCUUCCCACAUACCUGCGUCGUGAUUAAUGUCACGCCUGUACGAGACAUUUUUCAAGUUAUAUCUUUUUAUACGAAAAUACAUAUUUAAUGUAUUACGUCGGUUAACAUUAUCGUUCGUCGUAAGCUACACAGUGUUAAAGUCUAGACGAAACAGCCGGAUGGAUCAAAGUGACCUAUGGCCGUCAUGUUGUGUGUACAUAUGUAGCUGAAUCGAGUGAUCGAUUGAAAUCCCGUUGGCGUAUCUUAUUCUGUCAUUACUCGAUGGCACUGUGUAAUCGACGCAUAUCGCAUUUACGAUAGAGCAUCGAACGCUGUAAGCGAAGUGGUUUAGUAAUCCGGCAGCGGCACUUGCGCAAUCCAGGAAUUUCUCAUGCGAGGCGAAGGAAGGAAAUUGCGUUGCCCAAUUAGAAAUCGCGGGAGACCGCAGAAGGUGGAAAGGAACGAGAUAAAGGAAAGAAAAGGAGAUAAAAAUAGGGAGAGGGAGACGAAAGGAUGAUCGUAAGAAAGAAGAAAGAAGCACUGGAAUGAAGGAGGACGAGCGGUCGAAGAAGAAAGAAAAGGGUAGGAGGGCAAACGACGGAGAGGAGAAGAGAGCUCCACUCGUCAUCCCGGAUGUGCAACAUCUUUACAUGCUAUUCUUCGAUGCAGUUACCUACCAACACGAUUGUUCUCUUUUUCGCCUAUUAACGAGUCUUCAGAGUCUGUCUUAAGCGUUGAUGUCGUCACCUGCAACACAGCAACCUUAUGCAAUAAAUCAGAUAAUCGAUUACAUAAAAAGCAAGUUUAUGCAGGUAGUACGAUUGAACGAUGUUAUGGUAUAUUUUUAAUUAAAAAUAUAUAUCUAAAAA